UAGGGAAUAUUGCACAAUGGGCGAAAGCCUGAUGCAGCGACGCCGCGUGAGUGAUGAAGGCCUUCGGGUCGUAAAACUCUGUGAUGUGGGAAGAUGAUGACGGUACCACAUCAGAAAGGACCGGCUAACUUCGUGCCAGCAGCCGCGGUAAUACGAGGGGUCCAAGCGUUGUUCGGAAUCACUGGGCGUAAAGCGGGUGUAGGCGGCUACACAAGUUGGGUGUGAAAGCCCCGGGCUCAACCCGGGAAGUGCACUCAAAACUAUGUAGCUUGAGUACGAGAGAGGAAGGUAGAAUUCCAGGUGUAGUGGUGAAAUACGUAGAUAUCUGGAGGAACACCGGUGGCGAAGGCGGCCUUCUGGCUCAGUACUGACGCUCAGACCCGAAAGCGUGGGUAGCAAA
rnacentral:rRNA from 1 species